rnacentral:rRNA from 1 species
GAUGAACGCUGGCGGCGCGCCUAACACAUGCAAGUCGAACGAUUAAAGCACCUUCGGGUGUGUAUAAAGUGGCGAACGGCUGAGUAACACGUGGGCAACCUGCCCCUCUCAUUGGGAUAGCCACGGGAAACCGUGGAUAAUACCGAAUACUUCGGGACUUCCGCAUGGAAGACUCGAGAAAGCUCCGGCGGAGAGGGAUGGGCCCGCGGCCUGUUAGCUUGUUGGUGGGGUAAUGGCCUACCAAGGCAAUGAUGGGUAGCUGGGUUGAGAGACCGACCAGCCAGAUUGGGACUGAGACACGGCCCAGACUCCUACGGGAGGCAGCAGUGGGGAAUCUUGCACAAUGGGCGAAAGCCUGAUGCAGCGACGCCGCGUGCGGGAUGAAGGCCUUCGGGUUGUAAACCGCUUUCAGCAGGGACGAGGCGAAAGUGACGGUACCCGCAGAAGAAGCCCCGGCUAACUACGUG